rnacentral:rRNA from 1 species
AUUGCUAGUAAUCACAGGUCAGCAUACUGUGGUGAAUACGUUCCCGGGCCUUGUACACACCGCCCGUCACACCAUGAGAGUUGAGAAUACCCGAAGUCCAUGUCAAAGUGGCCGAAGGUAGGCUUGAUGAUUGGGGUGAAGUCGUAACAAGGUACC